AGUAUGAUCUUUAUGUAGAUAGGCCCUACUUCAAAUAUUUUGUGCGAUUUUCUUCAGCAAGUUGGCAAUUAAUUCUUAUGACAUUUCUCAUCCAAAAAUACAACGGCGUGUCAGAAAAAUAGUUAGCUGCUAUUCAACCUAUACAAUUCUCCUCCCUCAUGACAUCUUACGAAAAUGAAUAAUUCUGCUACGCAAAUAUUCCGGAUAAAAUUUGCAGGGGCCUCCUCCAGUCGCUUGAUGAAUUCAACACAUUCGUGAAGUUUCUUGCAGCAGUGUGCAGCAAUCUCACACCCACAGUCAUAACACCUGCACGCAUCACAACACAAUAUAAUAAUGUGAUGUGUUUCCUGUAACCACCCCACUCAAAGAGCAGUCUUACCAAAUGUUCCACAGCUCCAUGUUGAUGACCAGAGUAUGCGGUUCAGAGCGCGGUGUUUGGUGGUGCUUGAGAGCAUGU